rnacentral:rRNA from 1 species
CAGGCCUAACACAUGCAAGUCGAGGGGCAGUAUUAAACUAGUUUACUAGUUUAGAUGGCGACCGGCGCACGGGUGCGUAACGCGUAUGCAACCUACCAUUAACAGGGGGAUAAUCCGAAGAAAUUUGGUCUAAUACCCCAUAACAACUUUGAAGGCAUCUUUAGAGUUUGAAAGUUCCGGCGGUUAAUGAUGGGCAUGCGUUGUAUUAGCUAGUUGGUGAGGUAACGGCUCACCAAGGCUACGAUACAUAGGGGGACUGAGAGGUUAACCCCCCACACUGGUACUGAGACACGGACCAGACUCCUACGGGAGGCAGCAGUGAGGAAUAUUGGUCAAUGGACGCAAGUCUGAACCAGCCAUGCCGCGUGCAGGAUGACGGCUCUAUGAGUUGUAAACUGCUUUUGUACGAGGGUAAAGUUAGGUACGUGUACCUAUUUGAAAGUAUCGUAUGAAUAAGGGUCGGCUAACUCCGUGCCAGCAGCCGCGGUAAUACGGAGGACCCGAGCGUUAUCCGGAUUUAUUGGGUUUAAAGGGUGCGUAGGCGGUUUGAUAAGUUAGAGGUGAAAUUUAGUGGCUUAACCACUAAACUGCCUCUAAUACUGUUGAACUAGAGUGUAGAUGCUGAGGGCGGAAUGUGUAGUGUAGCGGU